rnacentral:rRNA from 1 species
GAUGAACGCUGGCGGCGUGCCUAAUACAUGCAAGUCGAACGCACAGCGAAAGGUGCUUGCACCUUUCAAGUGAGUGGCGAACGGGUGAGUAACACGUGGACAACCUGCCUCAAGGCUGGGGAUAACAUUUGGAAACAGAUGCUAAUACCGAAUAAAACUCAGUGUCGCAUGACACAAAGUUAGAAGGCGCUUUGGCGUCACCUAGAGAUGGAUCCGCGGUGCAUUAGUUAGUUGGUGGGGUAAAGGCCUACCAAGACAAUGAUGCAUAGCCGAGUUGAGAGACUGAUCGGCCACAUUGGGACUGAGACACGGCCCAAACUCCUACGGGAGGCGGCAGUAGGGAAUCUUCCACAAUGGGCGAAAGCCUGAUGGAGCAACGCCGCGUGUGUGAUGAAGGCUUUCGGGUCGUAAAGCACUGUUGUAUGGGAAGAACAGCUAGAAUAGGGAAUGAUUUUAGUUUGACGGUACCAUACCAGAAAGGGACGGCUAAAUACGUGCCAGCAGCCGCAGUAA